AUUAUUUAUUUAUUGUUCAAUACCAAUGCAAACUCUACAGAGCCCCAUGCUUCCCUCUUCUUCUCCUUCUUCAUCUUCCUUUCCUCACCUUCUUCCCCUACCCCCGUAUCACAACCAUCACCCUCCGUAUCACCACCAUCAUCCAUGGCGGCAUCAAUUUUGGUCGUUUUGUCUCCGCUGCAACCGUCUCUGAUCGACGCCGUAUUCAAUGUCGCCCCCAGCAUAAUCGGCUCCGGAAUCAUUUAAAUUCCGGCGAUUCUCAAAGUUCUCGGCGUGCUUCCUUCUUUCGCCUUGAUUCUUAUCAUCGAUGUGCUCGCUGAAGUUUCUGUUGAUUUUCUCAUGCGUUUUACGCAUGCCGGUGUAACCACACGUACUUUGGUGUUAUGAAGGAAGCUUUUGGGUCUGUUGGAGCUUUGUUUAUCGCGCUACUACAACACAACAUACACAACCAGUUGAUUAAGAAAGUGGUUCAAGCAAAUUAGGGGCAUUUGAUUGCUAGGGCUUUUUUAAAAAAUUGUAUGGGUGAAUGAGAUUCAUUCAAGUCUGUUUUGAGGUUGUUUCAAUAUUUGAAUGCAACACCAACCUGAUAUGUUAUCUCUUUGGUGUAAUGGUAGGAAUCAAUUUCUUUUUA